AAUUAACCCUAACCCUAACCUUAGGGUUAGGGUUAAAGCAAAUUUAAAAUGAAAAAAGCAAAUAAAACGAAGGUAUGGAGAUUAAAUACGCUUUACAUCGCUUAAUGAGCCAAAGGAGUAAAUGUAAACAACUGAAUACUUGUCAGUGAAUGGUUGAAAUUAUCGAAAUAAGACAAUUUUUUACAUGAAAUAAAUUCGAAUACAAAAGUAUUUUUCUGUUCUAUAACACAAAAUAGAUAAGUAUACGAAGUUUGAAAGUCUUUCGGUACCAAAAACACUACGUAAAACAUUAAUGAAAAAUGUGGCCCCCGAUUUAAAAAAGAUCCGAGACAUUAUAUAGUGGAUUCUUCCUAGAUAGCCGAGUGUAAUCUUGUUGAACGUGUGAAACGGGAGAUAAAUAUCGAUGUGCGUGCGAUCUCUAAUUACAGGAGAUACAAAUAUCGAUGUGCAUCUUAGAACGGUAAUCAAUGUUGGAUUCGUUGUCUUAAAACAAUUAAUUAAUUAACAUCGUGGAUCAUGUUGGGCAAGUUGGUUAGUUUUGCGGUUGGAUUUUAUGUGGGGGCCUAUGCUGACCAAUAUUAUUCUUUACCAAAAAUUCCUGGGCCAAUGGAUUUGUAUGAAAAAAUCAAAGUAGAAUUAGAAAAAUACAAGAAAGAGAAACCUGGACCUGGUAAAAGUUAAUGGAUGUCAGCUUAUUUCAGCACAUUUUACAGAAACUGAUUAACAUGAAAAAAAUUGUGAUUUUAAUGAUCUGGCUGAGGAGUUGGUUAAGUUUCUUUUUCCUUUUAAUAAAUUUGAUUUUGUGAUGUUUUCAUAACUGUGAUAUAUAAAAAUAGGAGUAAAUAAAAAGAUUGUUUAAUGAAA